rnacentral:rRNA from 1 species
GUAACAAGGUUUCCGUAGGUGAACCUGCGGAAGGAUCAUUGUCGAGUUUUUGCUACACACACACACCCUGUGCACCCGUAGUAGGUCCUCGAAAGAGGAUCUAUGUAUAUCUUUAUGAUCACACCCCAUCGUAUGUCUAUAGAAUGGUGAUAUAUAAUAUGAUACAACUUUCAGCAACGGAUCUCUUGGCUCUCGCAUCGAUGAAGAACGCAGCGAAUCGCGAUAAGUAAUGUGAAUUGCAGAUUUUCAGUGAAUCAUCGAAUCUUUGAACGCACCUUGCGCUCCUUGGUAUUCCAAGGAGCAUGCCUGUUUGAGUGUCAUCGAGUUCUCAAGUGAAUUUAAUUCAAUUGACUUGGACUUGGGAGUUGCUGGCUUGGUUUCAGCUCUCCUGAAAUGCAUCAUAUUAGGCUUUGACAUGCACGGCCUCCGACGUGAUAACGAUCGUCGUGGCUGGAGUGUAGGCUUCUUUGAAACUUGACCUCAAAUCAGGUAGGACUACCCGCUGAACUUAAGCAUAUC